rnacentral:rRNA from 1 species
UUAACACAUGCAAGUCGAACGAUGAAGCCCUUCGGGGUGGAUUAGUGGCGAACGGGUGAGUAACACGUGGGCAAUCUGCCCUGCACUCUGGGACAAGCCCUGGAAACGGGGUCUAAUACCGGAUACGAGCCUCCCGGGCAUCUGGGAGGUUGGAAAGCUCCGGCGGUGCAGGAUGAGCCCGCGGCCUAUCAGCUUGUUGGUGAGGUAACGGCUCACCAAGGCGACGACGGGUAGCCGGCCUGAGAGGGCGACCGGCCACACUGGGACUGAGACACGGCCCAGACUCCUACGGGAGGCAGCAGUGGGGAAUAUUGCACAAUGGGCGAAAGCCUGAUGCAGCGACGCCGCGUGAGGGAUGACGGCCUUCGGGUUGUAAACCUCUUUCAGCAGGGAAGAAGCGAAAGUGACGGUACCUGCAGAAGAAGCGCCGGCUAACUACGUGCCAGCAGCCGCGGUAAUACGUAGGGCGCAAGCGUUGUCCGGAAUUAUUGGGCGUAAAGAGCUCGUAGGCGGCUUGUCGCGUCGAUUGUGAAAGCCCGGGGCUUAACUCCGGGUCUGCAGUCGAUACGGGCAGGCUAGAGUGUGGUAGGGGAGAUCGGAAUUCCUGGUGUAGCGGUGAAAUGCGCAGAUAUCAGGAGGAACACCGGUGGCGAAGGCGGAUCUCUGGGCCAUUACUGACGCUGAGGAGCGAAAGCGUGGGGAGCGAACAGGAUUAGAUACCCUGGUAGUCCACGCCGUAAACGGUGGGCACUAGGUGUUGGCGACAUUCCACGUCGUCGGUGCCGCAGCUAACGCAUUAAGUGCCCCGCCUGGGGAGUACGGCCGCAAGGCU